AUGAACUUUUUGCCAUGCUUAGCAACUUUGAUCAGCGCAUGGCGCAGUACCACGGCUCGGGCGGUGGCUUCAAGUCGUCGGCAAACUCGGUCUCCAGAGGCCGUGGUGGUGGCUCUCGCUCUCGUGCCUCCUCUCGUGGCUAGGGGAGGUUCGGAUCUGGUGGCGGUGGCGGCUACUCCGGCUACUCCAACAAUGCUCGUGGUGGCGGACGCUCCGGCAGCUCAAAAGGGCGCCGUGGUGGCAGUUCCAACAGAUCUAGCCUGGACUUACCUCACUGCCAAAUUUGUGGCAAGCCUGGUCACACGGUGA
rnacentral:rRNA from 1 species